AGUAGAUCAAUUGCAAUUCUUUUCGUCAAAGCUUUGCUUAGUCUUCAAAGUCUUCAUCAUGAACUUUGCAUUGCGUUAGGUCGCAUGGAACAAGAACACAUAAGUGGUUGAGUCAAUUUAGCCUUUCUUGCACCCAUUUCAAGAACAAAUAAAAUCUUUCAAUCUAAUACAUUGUGAUACAUGACAAUAAUAAAAUUGAUAUCUUACGAUCAAUCAAGUAGAUAAAUCAAAAAUACGAAUAAGAAUGUAGAAGUGGAGGAAAAAAUUUGGCUUUCCGUCGAAUCAACGAAGAAGGGGAGAAGAAAGUUUGGCUUCCGUCAGAAUCAAAUUGGAGAAAAAAUAAAAAACAAUUGUUUUUCU
rnacentral:lncRNA from 1 species